rnacentral:lncRNA from 1 species
UCUGCCUCCCAAGAGCUGGGAUUAAAUGCGCCACUACUGCCCGGCUAAUACCGCCUUUCUUAUUUGAAAGAAAAUAAUAGUUUUAGUUUUUAGAAACUUGAAACCAGUGUAUACAUUGAAAAAAAUAGAUUUAAAAACCAUAGAAUUUUCUUUUUGGUAGGUAGCAGAUACAUCUGACUUAGUAACUUUUUUUUUUAAGAUUUAUUUAUUAUAUGUAAGUACACUGUAGCUGUCUUCAGACACACCAGAAGAGGGCAUCAGAUCUCAUUACAGAUGGUUGUGAGCUACCAUGUGGUUGCUGGGAUUCGAACUAAGAACCUUCAGAAGAGUAGUCAGUGCUCUUAACCGCUGUCAUUCUCCUGGUAACAUUUUUUUUACUAUUGACUAGUAUAAAUGAAGACUUGAUUCAUUUAAUAGGCUGUCAUUAUAAAACAGCAUAGGAUUUCAAAUCCCAUACAAAGCUGGUCAUUUUUCUAAUUCGCUUACAGACUCCAAAUACCCAAAACACUCCUCUUCAGCUCCCUUGCAAUAGUUGGCAUUUAUAAGUGCUGACUUUCCUUUAUUCUACAGCCUGUUACAUCCUAGUUUUUCUCUGGUUACAGCAGGAUCUUUUCUUUAUUUCUUUGAGCGGGAUGGGGGAUGUUCUAUUUUGUUUGAGACAGGGUUUUCCUAUAUAGCCCUGGGUGUCCUGGAACUCACCCUGUAGACCAGGCUGGCCUUGAACUCAGAGAUCUGCCUGCCUCUGCCUCCUGAGUGCUGAGACUAAAGGUGAGCACUACUAACUACUGCCUGGCUGUUAUCAGUUUCAUAACUAUACUUUUGCUUUCUUCUGAGGCAAAACAUGGAAUUGAGUUUAGUUGGGAAUAAUUAAGUUGCUCUGAAUUUACAGGAAGCAAUAUCACAGACAGCAGUGGUCUGAAAUACAUAGGAAUCAUCUAGAAUGUCUUAAAGUCCACACUUAGUUCUUGGAAUAUGUACUUUCCUUUGCUUAAUAAACUUAAAAUUUUGCCACAGUGAUCCCAACACUCUGGAGGCUGAGACAAGAGGAUCUCAAGUCUGAGCCUGGCAGAGUGCUGUACUGAAAGAUGAAGAUGAGGCUAACCUAGGCUACAUAGUAAGACUGUAUGCUUAGGAGGGAACACCUAAAGAAUUUAAUUACAGGAGGGGAAAUGAACAGAUAUUUAAGAACAAUACAAAUAUUUAAGAAUGCUUAGAACAGAAAUGAUAAAAGAUAAUAAAAGCCAAAUCGCAAUAUUUUAUAAUUUUUCCAUCCUUUAUUAUAAACCCAAAACUUACUGACAUGACUUGUUUUACAAGCUAUGGAAGCAUUUUAAAACCACUCACUUUCCCUAAAUAAAACGUAUUUACCUAGCCAAGGCCUCCUUUGUCCUCUGGCUGUGUUAAGGGACUUCUUUGAUCCCUUCAUAAUUCUUUGCUCCAAGGUCUAAUAAAACUUAUGAUUUUAAGUGCCUUCCUGUAUUGCCACCACAGUAACCAGCCUUUGUAUUGUGAAGGGGGAUGCCCGUAGCCCUAUUGUAAUGAUAGAUCUUGUCUGAUAGGACAUUAAGUAUAAGGUUGCCUUCUGAACAGAAAAGCCUGAAGUUGCACUACUUUCCUACUUUACUAUUAGCGCCAAGGUUUUAAGUCACCAAACUAAAGCCCUUUUGUGCCCCUCCUAGUCACUGUAGGGUCUGAAGGAUCAGUGUUUGCCUGGCAUCUGCCGCUGACACCUGUCACUUUCUCAGACUAAUUUUAAACCCCAGAGUUAAUCUAUUGACCUGUGUCUUUGACUGUUGUAAUUGGUUAACUUGUAAGAUUUGACCUCUGAUAUUUGCUAACUUUUUAUAGGGAGUUGUAUUUGUAACGG